rnacentral:snRNA from 1 species
GGCGAUGAAGUGUAUGAAUGAUG